CAGCCGCCGCGGUAAUACGAAGGGGGCUAGCGUUGCUCGGAAUUACUGGGCGUAAAGGGCUCGCAGGCGGUCUCUUAAGUCUGAUGUGAAAGCCCCCGGCUCAACCUGGGAAUGGCGCUUGUGACUGCAAAGCUAGAGUGCGGCAGAGGGGGAUGGAAUUCCGCGUGUAGCAGUGAAAUGCGUAGAUAUGCGGAGGAACACCGAUGGCGAAGGCAAUCCCCUGGGCCUGCACUGACGCUCAUGCACGAAAGCGUGGGGAGCGAACAGGAUUAGAUACCCCAGUAGUCCCUGUCUCUUAUAC
rnacentral:rRNA from 1 species